GGAUGGGUGGCAGAGUGGUCGAAUGCGCACGCUUGGAAAGCGUGUGUGCCGCAAGGCACCGAGGGUUCGAAUCCCUCCCCAUCCGCCA
rnacentral:tRNA from 1 species